rnacentral:lncRNA from 13 species
CAUUUGAACUUGUAAAUCUACUGCUCCCAGCUACUCUGAAGGCUGAGGCAGGAGGAUCACUUGAGCUGAGGAGUUCAAGAUCAGCCUGGGCAACAUAGCAAGUCCCGAUCUCAAAAAAAGGGAAAAAAAGAGCUACUGCAGGGGUGAAAGAAGGUAACAGGAAAAAGCACCCCAGUCUGUGCAGAACCAGCCUGGGGAAUGCCUUUGCAUCAGAUGAGGACCAUGCAGGAGAUGCCAGCUUUUCUUCAUUUCAGAAAAUUUUACUGGAGCAUCUGCCAAAUAGUAUCCAAAUGUUCACAGGGAUGGCCGGCCUUGCUUGUUUAAGUUCCAGGGAGUACAUGAGCAAGUGUGUUACAUGGGCAUACUGCGUGAUGGAGAGCUUAUACACUCUGCUUCCAAUCUGGGGAAGUGUUUUCCCCAAGAGUCAAAGUGCAUUCCAUGAAAUGCCAGUGCCAUGCAACACUCCUGGAAGAGGAAUUGGACACCAUAAACCUCAGAGACUCCCAGAGUACAUUAGCAAAUUAAAGCUUCUGAGCAAAUGA